AGGGUCGUUAACCUUCUGGCGCCGCUGGUCCUGUUCCGCCCAGCAGGGUCGCUUUUCUCCGGCCCUACCCUUGGGAAGGAGGCUGUUGAGUUAACUUUAUGUUUUCCUGGCCACCUAGGCAGCCCUAUCUGCCACGUAGAUUACUGGACGGCACUUUCGUAAUUUUCCAAGUUUCUUGGGAGAUGAGAGGGUCGAGGCCAUCCCUCGUGAUCACGAUUCCUCAGCACAGCCGUCCCCAGCUGUUGUUUGCAUCAGGGUGUGAUGACGCUGCUCUUCCGGUUACAGAGCACGAUAGUUUUGCUGGGAUUCUAGAGGCCAUUUGCUGUGGCCAAGGACUGUAUACUAAGGGUUAUCAAACCUUGGUUUGCCCAAGAAGCACCAGGUUAGGAGGGGAGCCCUAUUUGUACAUUUCCAGGAUCGAUGUAAGAAGAAGUACAUUGCUGUGUGUUUGUAACUCAGGCCAUCGUUUGAGGGUGCCAUUUUCCUUUUCUUGAUAACCCCUUGGCAACUUCCCCUCCUCUAUUGAGAGCAGUCUUGUUGGAGCUGUCAGUCAAGGGACCCUGAGAUCCAAGCCCAGGGCAGCUGAGCCAAACUAGGCCCAUGGAAUUCUCUCACCCAGAAAUCUGACUCUUUAGCCUAGUUAUUGCAACGAAGGAAAGUGGUCAUUGCAGAGCCCUAAAAAUAAAGUUCAUAGUUUCUACCUGGAUCCCAGACUUACUCUGGUUCUCAGCUUUUUCAUGCUUGAUUCUUUUUAGUUUUUCCUUCAGUUCUGUAAACUAUCUCAUACCCUCACAAUAAAAUGUUUUGCUUG